rnacentral:lncRNA from 1 species
CUGGGAUUACAGGCGUGAGCCACCGCGCCCGGCUGAAGAGGAGACUGGAAAGGUCUAUGCCAACUCCAGCAAGGUGUGGGUCCAGGAAUACAUCAGCAACUGGAAUUAAACCCCGGCAAGGUCUGGACCCAGCAAGAAAAGUGCUAGAGAUGUGAACAGAUUGGGCACAGGGACCCAAAACAGGCAAAAGUCUCUGCAACCUCAGAAACUGAUUCCAGAUCUGGGGGUCUAACUUCAUUUUAAAUGAAGAAGGUGCCAGAGGCUUACUGUUUGCUUAAACUCACAGAAGGCCCUAUGCAUCUUGUUUGCAGCUGAAUCUCCAGUGCUCUGCUCAUGGUAUGUAUUCAAUACAUAUUUACAGAAUAAAUGAAUGAGUAAAUGAAUAAAGAGUGUUAACUGAACAGAUGGAAGGGAUAAAGCAGAACAUGUGGUCUCCAAUUUUUAUUCAUUCAUUCUCUGUCCAUUAUAGGCUAGAAUGGGGAUAAUUCCCAAAGAUACGAAGAAAUCGAAGCCCAAGAUGGGUGGCUUCUCAGUCCCUUGACUUGGAUGAAGUCCUCUCUAUCAGCUGAGAAAACACAUGGUAGAGAUUGAUGAUCUUUGCAGAUUCUUGGGAGGCAGACAGGUUGUGGAAUAUUGAAGAUGAGAAAAUAGCACCCAGCUUUCCAAAAAAGGAGGGAGAAAGAAAAUAGACGAUAGACUCCAUCAACUUCAGAGUGGUCAGCUGCCUCUAGACUAGUCAAGAUUCUACAUAUACCUAUACAAUUCUUUUUUUUUUUUUUUUUU